CAUGAUAAUCUAUAAAUCGCUCGUCUGGGAACUGUUGUAAGAUGCCUAUAGAGCCAGAGAAUAUAUGCUGCAUGAAGAUAGAACAGGUAUAGUUUAGUUUAUUUACGGUUAUAACUUGUUUUUAUGACAUGCUAUUGCAUUUGUGUUAUGUACUGUAUUGCAAUAACAUGGCCUCACCCCUUUGUUGCGUGUUCUCGGGGGCAGGGUUUAUGUAAAUGUUAGGGUUAGUGAUGUCACCAACCCUGUUGUUUAUUUUAUUACUGAGAGGAAAGAGCGCAGCACAUAUUUACAUAUUCAUCUAAACGCUGCGCUCAGCAGUGAGGGCUGCGUCAGCUGUUCGAUAACACUAACAGUAUAUCGCUGCUCAUGUAUUUCGAACUUUGUUUUACCACUAAACGAAGAACGAAAAAGAACUAUAUCGGGGCCUUUAUCCUCUGGGGUUGACGAACACGUACGCGUUGACGUCGGCGCAUUCAUUUGGAUUUUUUUCCUCAUAACAGUGGAAAGAACUUAAAGUAUACUCCAUUGUUUUUGGUCAUACAGAUAAAAAAAACUUGCAUCUACAUUUGAAAAACUAACUGAAGUAAAAUAAUAAUAAACAAAAAUGAAUAUUUUAGUAGUCACUGAGCAUCAAGCAAAAUCACAUAGAUGAAUAAUCUGCCCUGUGGGGAAGGCAUCCCACUUGCAGAUGGUGUGUGAUAAAACAAAUGAAAUUGCAAUGACUAUUCGGUAACAUUAAGCUGACUGCUUUGGGCCCCUGGCAGAUUGCGGCCCUGGAGCAUGUAACCUGUCCUGCCCUGCUUGAAUUCAUUGUCACUCAUUGUCCACAGAAGGUGCAGACCUGUUUACAGCAAAAAUGAAAAGUUGGUUGUAUCAGGGUAAUGUAAUUUGCUUUCUCUGGGUUUUUAAGAUGAAGCAAGUUAAUCUUUAGCUGAAUGCAUUUGUUUUUUUCCCAGCAGUGAUAAAUGUACAAAAAUUUUACUUGUAUCAGCUUGCUUGAAUAGGCUAUCCUGUCUUGGAGAAGAGGAACGAAAGAACAGUAUCAAGCACUCAUACAUGCCCCACUUGAACUUUUGCUCUUCAUCACCACGCAAUCAAGCCACAGCCUUAAUGCUGCCUGCAUGAAAGCACAACACAAUACAAGCCUUCUGUCGCAGUUACAAAGCAGUGCUACAGAUGCAGGAUGUGUGAAACAAGCCAAACUGGACACUACUGGUGCUGUACUCUUUCUUUAUGGAGAUUUAUGAGCAUUUUGGACGUUUAACCCCAUCCAUCCAGAGAUGCUGCAGUGAACAACAUAAACACAGGCUCUUUGUGCAAGCUGUGCUUCUAAUGUUGGUUACAAGUUCAUCAAUAAGUUCAAAAUUGCAGCAUAAAUUAUGUAACUUAUGAAUCUGCCCCAUAGGUAAAAAAAAUACUCAGAGAUAUAGAGUACAAAUGAAACUACUGGGUCUUAAAACUGUGGAGAACAUGAUCUUAUUGAAUUUAUUUUUUUGUAGUUUUUUCAUCUACAGUAUAGUGCAUAUGAUUGACUACCUUUAUGAUGCUUUAUUUUUAAUUUAGGAUUAAAUUACUGUGAUUAGUCUUUUUUCUUGAUCAGUGGUUAGGGGUAGGCUUUGGGUUUGGGUAUAAAUUUAUGCACAUGAAAUUAUAAUAUAAUUAUACUACUAUAUUUAUAACAAAAUAAAUAUAUUAAAACAUA